UACGUAGGGUGCAAGCGUUAAUCGGAAUUACUGGGCGUAAAGCGUGCGCAGGCGGUUUUGUAAGACUGUCGUGAAAUCCCCGGGCUCAACCUGGGAAUGGCGAUGGUGACUGCAAGGCUAGAGUUUGGCAGAGGGGGGUAGAAUUCCACGUGUAGCAGUGAAAUGCGUAGAUAUGUGGAGGAACACCGAUGGCGAAGGCAGCCCCCUGGGUCAAAACUGACGCUCAUACACGAAAGCGUGGGGAGCAAACAGG
rnacentral:rRNA from 1 species